AUUCCAGAGGGGCAGGAACUAAUUGCUCUAAUCAUUACUUGACGGUCAUAUAGAGAGAUUUAGAGCCUGAGGCCAGCUAUAAAGGAGGAGGUGAAAAAUUAGUUUUCUUGAGUUUGAGAGGCAGUUGGUAACUCCUGAUGUUACAGUGUUCUUAACUACUGGGGGAAAACCCAAUAGAGGAGGUGAAGCAAAUGGAACUGAACUAUGUUUACCUUCCAAUGUACUUGAUUUUUUAAUUGGAUGGAUUAAUAACACUUGUUUGCAAUAGGAUUCUUCCUUGUCUAGAGAAAGCAUUUCUAAGAAGGAAGUAGACUGCUCCGUGACAGCACUGCCAUACAGAAGAUACGAAAGAACCAGCUUCUACUAUCCCUGUAGCAAGAUCAUCGGGCUCACUUAAGCAGCACCAGCUGUAAGUUCAGGAUCAAUCCCAGAAAAGGGCCUUGUUCCCGGCAGAAAUUCUGGGGCCUUCCUGAAAUCUACGUGAAUAAAAGUCCGCAAGCCCUCUUUGAAGAUUGAUUAUUAGAACUUGACAGAUAGGUUGAAGCUGAGGACCUUGCAGAGGAACUGUGAUUGUGGCCUGUAGAUUGCCCGAAUAGAGGCCAUCAGGAAGAGGCAGCAAUGACCCUUCAGCUUCACUGACCCUUUUGUACAUCUACCUCUUGGUGCUGGUUCCUACAAACCUUCACUGACUGGGCAUUGGCCUGGUUCAUGAGCUGCCAGAAAGAAAGCAUAUCAUUAGUUUGUGUUCAUAUAAAGAGAGACUUAGAAAAGAUGAAGACUCGGACUCCAGAAAGAAAAAUAGGCAAUUACUUGGAAGAGACUACUGCAUGGUUAUAAAGAUACAAGUCCAAAAUGUAUAACCAGCUUGUAAAAAUAGACUGUGUAUUUAAUUAAAGAACAUUCCUAUACUUAAAUGUCAUACUAAAUUUGUGUAUGUAUGUUACUUGAUUAUUCUGCUUAUAUUGUGUUGUGUAUCUGUUAUGCAUCUGAAACGUUGUAUUAUAUACUGGACAACAAUAAUGUGCCAUUACUCAUAAUGAAUUUAACAAUAAUAAUUAUUCAGUGAAAGGAAAGUAGAAUUUUUCCCUUUGAUUUUCCAUGUCUUUUUGUGAUUUUCUAUGUCUGAUUUUAAACCAGCCUUGAUUAAAAAAAAAUCAAACUAAACGUGAAGAAACGAGACAGCAAAGUAGCCUAAGAUUUCUCUUCAUUUGUGUGUGGUUGAGGUAACUUGUAAGUAAUGUAAGGCUCAGCUUUGGUUUUAUAGUGAUGGGAUUUGCAAGUUGCAAGUCUGUUUAAUAGGGAAAGCUAAAAGCACCCCUGUAUGGAUUUAAAUGGAAUUCUCAUCUGUUCUACAGAAAUACACCUUUCUUACUACCGUGAUUUUGAUCACCUGCUGUUCUCCAAUUAAACUAUAAACAAGUAAAAGGAACACAAUAUAUUUGCAUGUGAAAUGCAGCAGAGUAACAAGCAGAGCUUUUUUUAAGAGAGGAUCAGU